rnacentral:tRNA from 1 species
AGGGGCAUGAUGUAAUGGUAACAUAGUGGUCUCCAAAACCAUCUAUUCGGGUUCAAAUCCUGAUGCCCCUGCCA